GGUGUGGAAAAGCGGAAGUCCGAAAACAAGCGUUCCGGAAACGGCCAUGCCAAGUUGCCGGUUCAUGAGUCCGUCACCAAACGAGCUCUGUAAAGUCUUUCGCGCGUUCCACAUCCACUGUCCAGUGGAGACAUGAGCCUGGACCUUGGUGAACUGAUGCAGCCUUUAGUGUCAGCACCAGUCGUGACCAUGAGGUGUGUUCAGCCAAUCAGGAGGAGAGUGGGGGGCGGAGCUAUCCUGCAGCCAAUCAGCACGGAGCAUUGAGCACACCUGCAGACGAUCAUCUCAUCACCUGCUGGCUCCUGCAGCAGCUCAGUCUGGUAGAAGCUUCUGCGGACUGAGCUCCUCAGAAGGUUGAGAUGAAGAUGGUUCCUUGCUGCAGCCACCACAGGUGAGUCAGUUGUGAGCAGCAGAAUGACUUGAUUUCCUGCAGACUCAUGUGCUCCUGGAUGCCCUGAGAGCCACUUCCUGCCGUGAUACACAGGAAGUGCAGACACCAGCUGAAGCUGUGACACAGGAAGUGCUGGGACAUGACAGGAAGUGCAGGUUGGUGACUUGGCAGCACAACUUUCUUUGAGACUGCUCUAGUCUCUACAGAUGUCAGCGGAAGCGGCUUCUGUUAGCUUUGAAAGUUCUUUUCUCCUGAGGUGUGUCAGCUGGAGCCACUUCCUGCUGUGACCUGGAAGUGGACUUUGACAGGUGAGAAGGUCUGGUUCUGUCUUUGCAGGUCUGGCUGUUGGAGCUCCACUCUCCACCAAGGUGACAAGACUUGGCUGGUGUUGCAGAGGCUCAGAAGAGUGCCGUUUCUCUGUAACAGGUGGUUAUUCUGUCUGCAGUGAGCAGCAGCAGGUAAGAACUGGAGACAGUGCUGGUUUUAUCAUGUUUUUAUUGACAGACAUUUGCUCAUUGGACACAAGUGUGAGGAUCUGCAGCUUCAGGUGAGUUUCUUUGCAAGUUGAAUCACAUCUUGAUUUUGCAGCUCUUCAAGCCUCUGGAGAAAAAGAAGUUUAUGGUGAGCAUGUUUUUGUUCCCUUUUCCUUCUGUAUUAAACGCUAUGGCGCUCUCACCUGAUGAUUGAUUCUGUCUCUUGCAGGACACGUGUCUCCCAGCUGGUCGAUCUGCACAAGACAAGAGUCACAAGCAUGUUUCAACUGUCCUUGGUCAAUAAAACAUGAACACAACUGUGGUUUCUUAAACUUAAUAAAAUCAUGAGUCAGCA